GAGGCAGGAAUAUCACCUGAGAAGUUAUUAUGUUGAAGGAAGAGAUACUGGAGGGAAGGAAGGGAGGGGAUGUCAGAGGGAAGCUUCCCAGUGAGGAGAUUGGAUCGAAGGCUGAGAAUCUCGAGGGCAUCUAGCUUCCCAAGAGUGGUAGCUGGGAUGGAUCCAGUAAGUCCGAUGCCAGGGAGCCGGAGGGCACGCACACGGCUGCCAUCACCAGUGCAAUUGAUGCCCACCCAUGAGGUACAUACUGGGGUAGAAGAAUUCCAGUUGAGUUUUCUGCGAUGGGGAACAGCAUCAGCAAAGUCAAGAAGGGCUUGCUUGUCAGCAUCCAGAUCAGCAAUUGCCAGAGGAAGAAGAAUGGCUAUCACAAAAAGGAAAAGCAGAACCAAAGAAGUGGAAAAGAGCUUCAUGGGAAGUUGUCUGGCACAGGGUAUAUGAGAGUGACCGUAGUAGUAAAAU
rnacentral:lncRNA from 1 species